AUUGAACGCUGGCGGCAGGCCUAACACAUGCAAGUCGAGCGGAUGAAGGGAGCUUGCUCCUGGAUUCAGCGGCGGACGGGUGAGUAAUGCCUAGGAAUCUGCCUGGUAGUGGGGGAUAACGUCCGGAAACGGGCCCUAAUCCGCCUUAGGACUUGGGGGGGAAGGUGGGGGGUCUCGGGCCUUCUGACUUACAUUUGGGCAUAGGUGGGAUCAGCUAGUUGGUGGGGUAAAGGCUUACCAAGGAGACGAUCCGUAAUUGGUCUGAGAGGAUGACCAGUCACACUGGAACUGAGACAGAGUCCAGACUCCUACGGGAGGCAGCAGUGGGGAAUAUUGGGCAAUGGGCGAAAGCCUGAUCCAGCCAUGCCGCGUGUGUGAAGAAGGUCUUCGGAUUGUAAAGCACUUUAAGUUGGGAGGAAGGACAGUAAGUUAAUACCUUGCUGUUUUGACGUUACCAACAGAAUAAGCACCGGCUAACUUCGUG
rnacentral:rRNA from 1 species